rnacentral:lncRNA from 1 species
GAUGCGACCGACAAAAGUAGUUAUAAGAACCGAACAUAGGGUACAUGGAUUGCAUCAUCAUUUUUGGAUGGUAUUUUAUGGUUGGAAAAUACAAAAUAAUGAGCCCACGAUUCAAUCAUCAACAUCUCAAGAUAACUACCCUAUAUCUGCAUCAAGUCCUUUAUGGAACCAUCCAUGAACUCUUUUGUUAUAGCCCAAAACCCAGCCCAACC